GGCCAAGUUUUUAAGGGCGCACGGUGGAUGCCUUGGCACCAGGAACCGAUGAAGGACGUGGGAGGCCACGAUAGGCCCCGGGGAGUCGUCAACCAGGCUUUGAUCCGGGGGUGUCCGAAUGGGGAAACCCGGCAGUCGUCAUGGGCUGUCACCCGCUGCUGAACACAUAGGCAGUGUGGAGGGAACGCGGGGAAGUGAAACAUCUCAGUACCCGCAGGAAGAGAAAACAACCGUGAUUCCGGGAGUAGUGGCGAGCGAAACCGGAUGAGGCCAAACCGUAUGCGUGUGAGACCCGGCAGGGGUUGCGUAUACGGGGUUGUGGGAUCUCUCUUUYAUGGUCUGCCGGCCRUGAGACGAGUCAGAAACCGUUGAUGUAGGCGAAGGACAUGCGAAAGGUCCGGCGUAGAGGGUAAGACCCCCGUAGUCGAAACAUCAGCGGCUCGUUUGAGAGACACCCAAGUAGCACGGGGCCCGAGAAAUCCCGUGUGAAUCUGGCGGGACCACCCGCUAAGCCUAAAUAUUCCCUGGUGACCGAUAGCGGAUAGUACCGUGAGGGAAUGGUGAAAAGUACCGCGGGAGCGGAGUGAAAUAGUACCUGAAACCGUGUGCCUACAAGCCGUGGGAGCGUCGGGCAAGCACUUGUGUUUGCCUCGUGACUGCGUGCCUUUUGAAGAAUGAGCCUGCGAGUUUGCGGUGUGUUGCGAGGUUAACCCGUGUGGGGAAGCCGUAGCGAAAGCGAGUCCGAAUAGGGCGGUGGAGUAGCACGCUCAAGACCCGAAGCGGAGUGAUCUAGCCAUGGGCAGGUUGAAGCGGAGGUAAGACUUCGUGGAGGACCGAACCCACCAGGGUUGAAAACCUGGGGGAUGACCUGUGGUUAGGGGUGAAAGGCCAAUCAAACUCCGUGAUAGCUGGUUCUCCCCGAAAUGCAUUUAGGUGCAGCGUCGUGUGUUUCUUGCCGGAGGUAGAGCACUGGAUAGGCGAUGGGCCCUACCGGGUUACUGACCUUAGCCAAACUCCGAAUGCCGGUAAGUGAGAGCGCGGCAGUGAGACUGUGGGGGAUAAGCUCCAUGGUCGAGAGGGAAACAGCCCAGAGCAUCGACUAAGGCCCCUAAGCGUACGCUAAGUGGGAAAGGAUGUGGAGUCGCACAGACAACCAGGAGGUUGGCUUAGAAGCAGCCACCCUUGAAAGAGUGCGUAAUAGCUCACUGGUCUAGUGAUUCCGCGCCGACAAUGUAGCGGGGCUCAAGCGUACCGCCGAAGUCGUGUCAUUCACACAAUAGGGCCAACGCCUGUGUGGAUGGGUAGGGGAGCGUCGUGUGCCGGGUGAAGCAGCCGUGUAAGCGAGUUGUGGACGGUUCACGAGUGAGAAUGCAGGCAUGAGUAGCGAUACACACGUGAGAAACGUGUGCGCCGAUUGACUAAGGGUUCCUGGGUCAAGCUGAUCUGCCCAGGGUAAGUCGGGACCUAAGGCGAGGCCGACAGGCGUAGUCGAUGGAUAACCGGUUGAUAUUCCGGUACCCGCUGUGAAGCGUCAAACAU
rnacentral:ncRNA from 1 species